GAUGAAGAACGUAGCGAAAUGCGAUAAGUAAUGUGAAUUGCAGAAUUCAGUGAAUCAUCGAAUCUUUGAACGCACAUUGCGCCCGCCAGUAUUCUGGCGGGCAUGCCUGUUCGAGCGUCAUUUCAACCAUCAAGCCCCCGGGCUUGUGUUGGGGACCUGCGGCUGCCGCAGGCCCUGAAAACCAGUGGCGGGCUCGCUAGUCACUCCGAGCGUAGUAGUUACAUCUCGCUCAGGGCGUGCUGCGGGUUCCGGCCGUUAAAAGCCUUUUACCCCAAGGUUGACCUCGGACCAGGUAGGAAGACCCGCUGAACUUAAGCAUAUCAAUAAGCGGAGGA
rnacentral:misc_RNA from 1 species